CCUACGGGAGGCAGCAGUGAGGAAUAUUGGUCAAUGGCCGGAAGGCUGAACCAGCCAUGCCGCGUGAAGGUCAGUGCCCUAUGGGCGUUAAACUUCUUUUGUGCGGGAGCAAUAAUGGUCACGUGUGGCCAGACGAGAGUACCGUACGAAUAAGCAUCGGCGAACUCCGUGCCAGCAGCCGCGGUCAUACGGGGGCUGCAAGCGUUAUCCAGAUUUAGUGGGUUUAAAGGGUGCGUAAGCUGGGAGGUAAGUCAGCGGUGAAAUGCCCCCGCGCAACGGGGUGAAGUGCCAUUGAUACUGGCUUGCUGGAAUGCGGAUGCCGUGAGAGGAAUGUGUGGUGUAGCGGUGAAAUGCAUAGAUAUCACACAGAACACCGAUUGCGAAGGCAUCUCACGAGUCCGCGAUUGACGCUGAUGCACGAAAGCGUGGGUAUCAAACAGGAUUAGAUACCCGAGUAGUC
rnacentral:rRNA from 1 species